AAGUUAUCCCAUAACUUUGGGAUAAGGAUUGGCUCUAAGGGCUAGAUCGGUCGGGCUGGGAUGGGAAGUGGGGCUGGGCGCGAGUCUCGGCUGGACGAGGCGCCGUGUGCCGUGCCCCCUCUCACGUGCCCCGGUCGGAGCCCACCAUCCCCUUCUCGCAGGAAGGCCAGGGUGCCGGGGGGCAAGCCAUCGUCCACGGCGGUGAAUCUAGACAUGCGUCGGACCCUUCCCGUGGAUCUCCACAUUUGAGGCGUGCGUCGGUCAACCUCUUCCUGCCCGGGGAAGGCCGGCGGGCGGCGGGCGGCCUCGGCCAGUGUCUAGCAGUUGGCUUAGAACUAGUGCGGACCACAGGUAUUCGACUGUUUAAUUAAAACAAAGCAUCAUGAAGGCCCGCGGCGGGUGUCAACACGAUGCGAUUUCUGCCCAGUGCACAGAAUGUUAAAGUGAAGAAAUUCAAUGAAGCGUGGCUAAACGGCAGGAGUAAAUUUGACUCUCUUAACUCCCUUGGGUAAGGAGUGGAGACUUAGUGACCUCUA
rnacentral:ncRNA from 1 species